AAUAGCCCGAUAAUGCUUUAUGAAACGCGUAACACUUUACAUUUAAAAAUAUUGUUUGGCUAUUUUUUUUUCUCUUUUCAAUGUUCGUAAGUUUUUCUCGUGCCUUAUCUCCCGUAUGGGCAUGGCUCUGUGGUGGGUGGAAAAGAGCACCGAACAGCCGCUUAGCUUAGCGCGGUAGGCUAGACCACGGCUGAAACCCCCUGUCAAUCUGAGUAGCGUAGCUGGUUAGCUAGGCUAGUCCACAUACAGUUAGAGCCCUGCCAGAGCCCUGCUAGAGCCCUGCCAAGCCAACGCAUUACCAGCCCUAAUCCCACAAGCUGAAGCUGGGGAUCUUACAAUCUGAGAACAAUGGCUCUUACUUCCGAAAUCUGACAGAGGCCCUGCCACAGCAGACAUAGAUUUUGGGUGCAGAGAGUCGAGGGGGGGUGAGGGGGGACAGGGAGAGGUGGUUCAUGGGGAGGACUAAAGCCAUGAGGAGUAGAGGAAGAACAAGGAGAACGGGAGCCACUAAUAGACAAAUUGUCUUAAGGGAGUUGGGGUAAAAUCAACGAGGAACAACAGAGCAACUGCAACACAAAUGUCAAAUGUCUCUGUUUUGUGAGAAAGACAGAGAGGCUCUUAGUGGAACGAAACAGGUCAAGGUGAAAGGUUGUGCUAAACAACUACAGAGCCUGAAUUCGAGACAUGCUACAAGAACAUGUGGAACAGACGUGUGGUGAGUCCCAGAGACCUAGUUGAACUGUGGCACAGAAAUCCAGCAGAAGAUAUAUCUGUUUUGAUAUACGGACGCAAAUGGCAGGUGUUGUGUGUGUUUGAGCGGCUGGAGAAAGUGAAGGCGACACAGAGUAAACCCGACAACCUUUGAAGACAGAAGUCCAGUUCUGCGUGACCAUUCUGUUUGUAAAAUUCCUGGGUGGUUUUUUUCGUUCAUAUAUGUUCUGAGUUCAAAUAAACGCCCACAGGCAAC